AUUGAACGCUGGCGGCAUGCUUUACACAUGCAAGUCGAACGGUAACAGGCCGCAAGGUGCUGACGAGUGGCGAACGGGUGAGUAAUGCAUCGGAACGUGCCCAGCCGUGGGGGAUAACUACUCGAAAGAGUAGCUAAUACCGCAUACGAUCUAUGGAUGAAAGCGGGGGACCGUAAGGCCUCGCGCGAUUGGAGCGGCCGAUGUCAGAUUAGGUAGUUGGUGGGGUAAAGGCUCACCAAGCCAACGAUCUGUAGCUGGUCUGAGAGGACGACCAGCCACACUGGGACUGAGACACGGCCCAGACUCCUACGGGAGGCAGCAGUGGGGAAUUUUGGACAAAGGGCGCAAGCCUGAUCCAGCAAUGCCGCGUGCAGGAAGAAGGCCUCCGGGUUGUAAACUGCUUUUGUACGGAACGAAACGGCUCUGGUUAAUACCCGGGGCUAAUGACGGUACCGUAAGAAUAAGCACCGGCUAACUACGUG
rnacentral:rRNA from 1 species